UUAUGGUAUCUUGGUCAUUGUUGACCGUUCAUAUAAUCUCUGCAGUUGCUUUAUAGCUUAUGCGGGGAUUAUACGAUAUUCAGCAAAGACCUUUGACAUCAAAUA
rnacentral:pre_miRNA from 2 species